rnacentral:rRNA from 1 species
GUGCUUAACACAUGCAAGUCGAGCGCGAACGUCUCCUUCGGGAGACUAGUAGAGCGGCGCACGGGUGAGUAACACGUGAGUAACCUACCCCCGGAUUUGGAAUAACCUCGGGAAACUGAGGCUAAUGCCGAAUAAGCCCACAGCGCCUAUGGUGCAGUGGGAAAAGAGGGCUUCGGCUCUCGUCCAGGGAUGGGCUCGCGGCCCAUUAGCUAGUUGGUGGGGUAACGGCCUACCAAGGCUUUGAUGGGUAGCUGGUCUGAGAGGAUGAUCAGCCACACUGGGACUGAGACACGGCCCAGACUCCUACGGGAGGCAGCAGUGGGGAAUCUUGCGCAAUGGGCGAAAGCCUGACGCAGCAACGCCGCGUGGGUGACGAAGGCUCUUGGGUCGUAAAGCCCUGUCAGGGGGGAAGAAUGUCCGUAUGGUUAAUACCCAUGCGGAGUGACGGUACCCCCAAAGGAAGCACCGG